rnacentral:rRNA from 1 species
GAUGGCGACCGGCGCACGGGUGAGUAACACGUAUCCAACCUACCCAUGACUCGGGGAUAGCCUUUCGAAAGAAAGAUUAAUACCCGAUGGUAUAUAUUUCCUGCAUGGGAGAUAUAUUAAAGAAUUUCGGUGAUGGAUGGGGAUGCGUUCCAUUAGUUUGUUGGCGGGGUAACGGCCCACCAAGACUUCGAUGGAUAGGGGUUCUGAGAGGAACGUCCCCCACAUUGGAACUGAGACACGGUCCAAACUCCUACGGGAGGCAGCAGUGAGGAAUAUUGGUCAAUGGACGAGAGUCUGAACCAGCCAAGUAGCGUGAAGGAUGACUGCCCUUUGGGUUGUAAACUUCUUUUAUAUGGGAAUAAAGUGGGGUAUGUAUACCCUUUUGUAUGUACCAUUAUGAAUAAGCAUCGGCUAACUCCGUGCCAGCAGCCGCGGUAAUACGGAGGAUGCGAGCGUUAUCCGGAUUUAUUGGGUUUAAAGGGAGCGUAAGUGGGCGAUUAAGUCAGUUGUGAAAGUUUGGGGCUCAACCUUAAAAUUGCAGUUGAUACUGAUUGUCUUGAGUGCGUUUAAGGUGGGCGGAAUUCGUGGUG